AUUUACGGCCAUGUCACCCUGAACAAGCCCAAUCCCGUCUGAUCUCAGAAGCUAAGCAGGGUCAGGCCUGGUUAGUACCUGGAUAAAUGGAAGACCAGGUGCUGUAGGUG
rnacentral:rRNA from 1 species